CUUUCUUCAUUACAUUUACAUAUUAUAUAUAAAUAUUUAUAUAAAUUAUGUGUAAUAUACAUAUAUAUAAAUAUAAAUAAUAUUUAUUUUAAUAAUCGGUUCGGUUCGGGUUUUUGCGGUUCGGUUUUGGCCUAAAAUCGGAACCGCAACCGUUAUAAUCCGUUCGGUUUUUAAAUUUUCGAUUUCGGAUCGGUUCGGUUUUUAUCGGUUUCACCAAUUUCGGUUACGGUUUCGGUUUCAAUUCGGUUUCUUGCUCACCCCUACUCUCUUAUAUCAUUACGUACAGUUUAAAUUACAAAACACUUGUUCAUU
rnacentral:lncRNA from 1 species